rnacentral:lncRNA from 1 species
UAGAAUAAUAAUAUAUGCACAUAAACUAAGCAUAACAUAUAUGUAAUAUUUGUCGCUGGGUAUAAGACAUACAUCAGUAUCAUCAUCAUCAUCAUAGGUAUUCAAUCUUGAGGCUAAAUCUUCGUUGUAUGUACUAUAGCGUGAGACUUCUUCGUCGUAAUUAUUAUAGAUUGAAGCUAAAUUCUUAUCUGAAAUUUUAGCCAAGUUAUGUCGAGAACUCAUUUUACGCAUUCAUCUCUUUGCUAAAUUGGUUUUGUAAAUGUCCAAGUUAAGGCCCAUGGAGAUCAUAGAAGUAUUUUCAACAAAUGACCAUGUCUACUCAUAAUUAAAACAGUAAGCAAAGGAUUGACUCGUCCGAGUUAAACGAACCACAAAAACAGCAAUUACUAGUAUUUCCAAAUAAACUUCAUGUGCCGAUCUUAAAUUAUUCACAGCUACUGAUUACUAUCUUAAAAACAACUACAACUAAUAAUCCAGUCUAGAAUAUUAAUCAAUUAUUUCGUACUGUUAGACUGGCCACUGUGCAGUAUGGGCUUUGCUCAUUGUUGAAGGCCGUAUGAUGACCUAUAGUUGUUAAUUUCUGUGUCAUUUGGUCUCUUGUGAAGAGUUGUUUCAUUACAAAUCAUACAAGAUCUUCUUUUUUGAACAUAUCACAAAUUAAGUAUAAAAAAGUUAAUAAAGUCUUGAAAAGCAAGACCUUUUGUCAUGACAAUAGCACAGAGUGUCCGUAGGACCAUUAGUGUUCAUAACUAUAUGGCAUAGUAUACGUAGUUUCUUUAAAAUGUAAUAUAAUUUAUCGGCAAAAU